CCGACUCUGUUGCCUCCGGGGCGACCCUGCCUUCGGGCGGGGGCUCCGGGUGGACACUUCAAACUCUUGCGUAACUUUGCAGUCUGAGUAAACUUAAUUAAUAAAUUAAAACUUUUAACAACGGAUCUCUUGGUUCUGGCAUCGAUGAAGAACGCAGCGAAAUGCGAUAAGUAAUGUGAAUUGCAGAAUUCAGUGAAUCAUCGAAUCUUUGAACGCACAUUGCGCCCCCUGGUAUUCCGGGGGGCAUGCCUGUUCGAGCGUCAUUUCACCACUCAAGCCUCGCUUGGUAUUGGGCAACGCGGUCCGCCGCGUGCCUCAAAUCGACCGGCUGGGUCUUCUGUCCCCUAAGCGUUGUGGAAACUAUUCGCUCAAGGGUGCUCGGGAGGCUACGCCGUAAAACAAACCCAUUUCUAAGGUUGACCUCGGAUCAGGUAGGGAUACCCGCUGAACUUAAGCAUAUCAAUAGUCGGAGG
rnacentral:rRNA from 1 species